UGAUAGCGUUGAAGCGUGAGGUUGCUGCACAGAGGUUGCAGGUUUUCCGUGGAGCGAAUGUCAAGUUAGGAAACUGACGACAA
rnacentral:ncRNA from 1 species